rnacentral:rRNA from 1 species
UACGGAGGGAGCUAGCGUUGUUCGGAAUUACUGGGCGUAAAGCGCACGUAGGCGGCUUUGUAAGUUAGAGGUGAAAGCCCGGGGCUCAACCCCGGAAUUGCCUUUAAGACUGCAUCGCUUGAAUCCGGGAGAGGGGAGUGGAAUUCCGAGUGUAGAGGUGAAAUUCGUAGAUAUUCGGAAGAACACCAGUGGCGAAGGCGGCUCACUGGACCGGUAUUGACGCUGAGGUGCGAAAGCGUGGGGAGCAAACAGG